UACGAAGGGUGCAAACGUUGCUCGGAAUUAUUGGGCGUAAAGCGCACGUAGGCGGCUUGGCAAGUCGGAUGUGAAAUCCCUCGGCUCAACCAAGGAAGUGCAUCCGAAACUGCUAAGCUUGAGUACUUAAGAGGAUCGCGGAAUUCCCGGUGUAGAGGUGAAAUUCGUAGAUAUCGGGAGGAACACCAGUGGCGAAAGCGGCUUCCUGGUCCAGCACCGACGUUCAGGCACGAAAGCGUGGGGAGCAAACAGG
rnacentral:rRNA from 1 species